CCUACGUGAGGCUGCAGUGAGGAAUAUUGGUCAAUGGGCGCGAGCCUGAACCAGCCAAGUAGCGUGAAGGAUGACUGCCCUACGGGUUGUAAACUUCUUUUAUAAAGGAAUAAAGUGAGGCACGUGUGCCUUUUUGUAUGUACUUUAUGAAUAAGGAUCGGCUAACUCCGUGCCAGCAGCCGCGGUAAUACGGAGGAUCCGCGCUUUAUCCGGAUUUAUUGGGUUUAAAGGGAGCGUAGAUGGGUGUUUAAGUCAGUUGUGAAAGUUUGCGGCUCAAACGUAAAAUUGCAAUUGAUACUGGCAGUCUUGAGGACAGUUGAGGUAGGCGGAAUUCGUGGUGUAGCGGUGAAAUGCUUAGAUAUCACGAAGAACUCCGAUUGCGAAGGCAGCUUACUAAACUGCAACUGACAUUGAUGCUCGAAAGUGUGGGUAUCAAACAGGAUUAGAUACCCCUGUAGUC
rnacentral:rRNA from 1 species